GUGGACGCCAGUCUGCGUGGAGCCGACCUUGAAAUACCACCCUUUAAUGUUUGAUGUUCUAACGUGGACCCGUGAUCCGGGUUGCGGACAGUGUCUGGUGGGUAGUUUGACUGGGGCGGUCUCCUCCUAAAGAGUAACGGAGGAGCACGAAGGUUGGCUAAUCCUGGUCGGACAUCAGGAGGUUAGUGCAAUGGCAUAAGCCAGCUUGACUGCGAGCGUGACGGCGCGAGCAGGUGCGAAAGCAGGUCAUAGUGAUCCGGUGGUUCUGAAUGGAAGGGCCAUCGCUCAACGGAUAAAAGGUACUCCGGGGAUAACAGGCUGAUACCGCCCAAGAGUUCAUAUCGACGGCGGUGUUUGGCACCUCGAUGUCGGCUCAUCACAUCCUGGGGCUGAAGUAGGUCCCAAGGGUAUGGCUGUUCGCCAUUUAAAGUGGUACGCGAGCUGGGUUUAGAACGUCGUGAGACAGUUCGGUCCCUAUCUGCCGUGGGCGCUGGAGAACUGAGGGGGGCUGCUCCUAGUACGAGAGGACCGGAGUGGACGCAUCACUGGUGUUCGGGUUGUCAUGCCAAUGGCACUGCCCGGUAGCUAAAUGCGGAAGAGAUAAGUGCUGAAAGCAUCUAAGCACGAAACUUGCCCCGAGAUGAGUUCUCCCUGAGACUUAAAGUCUCCUGAAGGAACGUUGAAGACGACGACGUUGAUAGGCCGGGUGUGUAAGCGCAGCGAUGCGUUGAGCUAACCGGUACUAAUGAACCGUGAGGCUUAACCUUACAACGCCGAAG
rnacentral:rRNA from 1 species